AUUGAACGCUGGCGGCAUGCCUAACACAUGCAAGUCGAACGAGAUCUUCGGGUCUAGUGGCGCACGGGUGCGUAACGCGUGGAAUCUGCCCUUUGGUUCGGAAUAACAGUUGGAAACGACUGCUAAUACCGGAUGAUGACGAAAGUCCAAAGAUUUAUCGCCAGAGGAUGAGCCCGCGUAGGAUUAGCUAGUUGGUGUGGUAAAGGCGCACCAAGGCGACGAUCCUUAGCUGGUCUGAGAGGAUGAUCAGCCACACUGGGACUGAGACACGGCCCAUACUCCGACGGGAGGCAGCAGUGGGGAAUAUUGGACAAUGGGCGAAGGCCUGAUCCAGCAAUGCCGCGUGAGUGAUGAAGGCCUUAGGGUUGUAAAGCUCUUUUACCCGGGAUGAUAAUGACAGUACCGGGAGAAUAAGCUCCGGCUAACUCCGUGCCAGCAGCCGCCGUAA
rnacentral:rRNA from 1 species